GCCUUGACGCCCUCGCACAGCCCCUCCACUGCAAAAGGAAAACAAGAGCAGAGGUCAGAGCUGAGAGGAAGCCUGCUCAGCAGCAGCUGGGCACACGGGGGAUUACCUGGGGCGUGCUUCUCAGCGAGCCUCAGCCAGAUCAAAAAGCUAAAAACACGCCUCUGUUGUUUUCUGUUGCUGGUUUGGGCCGAGCAAAAACACUGACACACAGGAACAGACAAUCCCGGCGUGGUGAGGCUUCCGAACUCACUCUGCGGUGCGAUCCGCCGGAUCCGAUUCAGAAACAAUAUUUUAGUCCUUUUUGUAUUUGUUCAGGGUUUUUUUUUUCUUUUCAGAGUUCACUUCAGAG